rnacentral:rRNA from 1 species
AAAGAUUAAGCCAUGCAUGUCUAAGUAUAAGCAAUUUAUACAGUGAAACUGCGAAUGGCUCAUUAAAUCAGUUAUCGUUUAUUUGAUAGUACCUUACUACAUGGAUACCUGUGGUAAUUCUAGAGCUAAUACAUGCUAAAAACCUCGACUUCGGAAGGGGUGUAUUUAUUAGAUAAAAAACCAAUGCCCUUCGGGGCUCCUUGGUGAUUCAUAAUAACUUAACGAAUCGCAUGGCCUUGCGCCGGCGAUGGUUCAUUCAAAUUUCUGCCCUAUCAACUUUCGAUGGUAGGAUAGUGGCCUACCAUGGUGG